rnacentral:rRNA from 1 species
UACGUAGGGAGCAAGCGUUACUCGGAAUCAUUGGGCGUAAAGGGCGCGUAGGCGGUUCGGCAAGUCUCAUGUGAAAGCCCACAGCCUAACUGUGGAAGUGCAUGAGAUACUGUCGAAUUUGAGUUCAGGAGAGGAAGGCAGAAUUCCCGGUGUAGCGGUGAAAUGCGUAGAUAUCUGGAGGAACACCGGUGGCGAAGGCGGCAUCCUGGACCGGUAUUGACGCUGAGGCGCGAAAGCCAGGGGAGCAAACGGG